rnacentral:rRNA from 1 species
GACGAACGCUGGCGGCGUGCUUAACACAUGCAAGUCGAACGGAAAGGCCCUGCUUUUGUUGGGUGCUCGAUUGGCGAACGGGUGAGUAACACGUGAGUAACCUGCCCUUGACUUUGGGAUAACUUCAGGAAACUGGGGCUAAUACCGGAUAGGAGCUCCUGCUGCAUGGUGGGGGUUGGAAAGUUUCGGCGGUUGGGGAUGGACUCGAGGCUUAUCAGCUUGUUGGUGGGGUAGUGGCUUACCAAGGCUUUGACGGGUAGCCGGCCUGAGAGGGUGACCGGCCACAUUGGGACUGAGAUACGGCCCAGACUCCUACGGGAGGCAGCAGUGGGGAAUAUUGCACAAUGGGCGGAAGCCUGAUGCAGCAACGCCGCGUGCGGGAUGACGGCCUUCGGGUUGUAAACCGCUUUCGCCUGUGACGAAGCGUGAGUGACGGUAAUGGGUAAAGAAGCACCGGCUAACUACGUG